GGUGACAUAGACUGCACCCAAAA
rnacentral:snRNA from 1 species